CGAUGUAGCUCAGCUAUCGGUUCUGACGGGGAUCAGCCGCCAGAGGAAACGGGGAAAGAGCAGUGAGAAUCUGCCGCUGUCCCGCAGCUGUGAUCCGGUUUAGGAGAAGUUCUGCAGCAAAUCUCUAGAGUCAUUCGCUGCCGAUCCAGAUCUUGUCCCCCAAAACCGUGUCAGUCAGAAUGCCCGCCGAUGGUUUUUCUAAACU
rnacentral:ncRNA from 2 species